CGGUGUCAGUAAAACUAGACGGCUCUAUUUUGUGUCGAGGGGAAAAUAAACCAUUUCAGGAGUAAAAACACAGGUUUGAUUUAACACACCGAUGUUGGAGUGAAGUAAACGUGUGUCCUGCUGUAAUCUGGAGGAGACAUGACCUCCAACAUGAGUGUGUCUGGAGACCAGGACUUAAAGAAAGACGAGAGAAUGAUGGAGGGAAAGAGAUCAGACUCACCAGAAUCCAGCUGUGUGUCCAUGAAGAGUGACCGGUCAGUGGGUGUUCCACUUAACUUCAGAGACGGAGCCAGUUCUCCUGAUAUGAGACCACAAAAGAAGAAAUCAAACAUCUGCAGAAAUCAGCUGGACUCCAUAUUCAAGG